UGGUGCUUGCACUGGUUGGAUUAGUGGCGAACGGGUGAGUAAUACGUGAGUAACCUGCCUUUGACUCUGGGAUAAGCCUGGGAAACUGGGUCUAAUACCGGAUAUGACAAGGAACCGCAUGGUUUUUUGUGGAAAGGGUUUGUACUGGUUUUAGAUGGGCUCACGGCCUAUCAGCUUGUUGGUGGGGUAAUGGCUCACCAAGGCGACGACGGGUAGCCGGCCUGAGAGGGUGACCGGCCACACUGGGACUGAGACACGGCCCAGACUCCUACGGGAGGCAGCAGUGGGGAAUAUUGCACAAUGGGCGCAAGCCUGAUGCAGCGACGCCGCGUGAGGGAUGACGGCCUUCGGGUUGUAAACCUCUUUCAGCAGGGAAGAAGCGAAAGUGACGGUACCUGCAGAAGAAGCGCCGGCUAACUACGUGCCAGCAGCCGCGGUAAUACGUAGGGCGCGAGCGUUGUCCGGAAUUAUUGGGCGUAAAGAGCUUGUAGGCGGUUUGUUGCGUCUGCUGUGAAAGACCGGGGCUUAACCCCGGUAUUGCAGUGGGUACGGGCAGACUAGAGUGCAGUAGGGGAGACUGGAAUUCCUGGUGUAGCGGUGAAAUGCGCAGAUAUCAGGAGGAACACCGAUGGCGAAGGCAGGUCUCUGGGCUGUAACUGACGCUGAGAAGCGAAAGCAUGGGGAGC
rnacentral:rRNA from 1 species